UAAAACUCAUUCAAACCCUAAAAAUAACUCUACUCUGCCACUUUUGAAAUUGCCGCAGCUCCUCUCCCUCUAUGCCAUUUCAGACUCCUUUCACUCCGAUAACGACAAAACGGAGAGGUCUCCCGACGACCCUCACGAUAGUAAGUCCUCCUUUGCUUAUCCUUUUCUUUUUGUUUAUUAUUAUUUUUUAAAAGGAGAAAGAAAAGAAGAAGAUAGCAAAAUAAUAAUAAAAAACCAGUAAAAUCAAAGAAAAAUCGGAAAAAAAAUAAAAUCACCUUUUGAAAAAUAUUCUUUGUAUUCUCAAUAUUCUCUCUGUUUUCGAAUAUAUUUUACACCGAAAAAAAUCCCUCCCCCCCUUGUUACAGACUUUCAUCAGCUUUAUAUAGCCGAUUAAAACUAAAAAUCUGGAAAAAAAAAAUCAAAAACCCCUCUUCUUUCUGUUAUUUGCUGUGCUUGUGUCCCCCUUUUUCGCAGGUUUGGUGACCGUGGAGUGCGCGCGACGGGCGCGGAGCGACAAACACGGUGUGCGGGCACUGUUGCGGCGUGCGUGUGGGAGCUGCUGCGCCUAGGCUUCUUGCUGGUGUUUUGGGCCAUUUUCUGUUGGACUAGGGUUGAAAUUGGCUAUUGGGUUUUAAUUUUAUUGGGCCUGCUAUUGUAUUUUAUUAUUGAUUGGGCAGGGCAAAUAAUUGGUAUUACAAUAUUCUUACAUUCUUAAUGCCUUUUGGAAUAGGAAAAAAAACAUAAAGUAACACUACCAUAUAAAAAUGAUUUUGAUGAAAGAAAAUUUUAGACAAAAGUAAGUCCAAUACAAAUGAACAAAGAAAUAGAAGAAUUUUGUAAAAAAGAAAUACAAGAUUUUCUCAAUAAAAACUUAAUUAGAUAGAGCAACUCUCCUUGAAUUUGUUUAGCAUUUUACGUGAUGAAAAAUGCAGAACUCAAAAGAGGAACCCCAAGAUUAGUCAUUAAUUACAAACCUCUCAAUCAAGCUUUAGAAUGGAUUAGAUACACAAUCCCAAAUAAAAAUACUGAUUGCAAAAACUAUUCAAUGUCAAUUUUUUUUAAAAUUUGACUUGAAAUCGUGAUUUUGGGAAAAUCAAAUAAAAGAAGUUGAAAGAUACAAAACGACAUUUGUUGUACCAUUUGAGCAAUACGAAUGGAACGUAAUACAUCUUGGACUAAAAAUACUCCAUCUAAAUUCAUAAAAAUUAUGAAUGAUAUUUUUAAUCCAUAUUCUCAAUUUACAAUAGUAUACAUUGAAGAUGUAUUAAUGUUUUUUGAUAAUUUAGAAAAACACUUCAAACACUUAUCCUUUUUUGUCAAAGUUAUAAAAAAACAAUGGUUUAGUAGUAUCUAAAUCCAAGAUUAGUUUGUUUCAAACCAGAGUAAGGUUUUUAGGUCAUUAUGUUACCCAAGGGAUCAUUACUCCAACAGAAAGAUCUAUAAAAUUUUCCAGCAAAUUUCCAAAUCAAAUCCUUGAUAAAGUCCAACUACAAAGACUCUUAAGUAGCCUCAAUUAUGUCAUAGAUUUUUAUCCCGAUUUUAGAAAAUUAUGUAAGCCCUUGUAUAAAAAGCUCAAUAAGAAUCCACAACCUUACAAAUGUUCACACUUAGCUGAUCCAAUCGCCCCCAAAAUAGUAGAAACAAAUGCUUCUGAGAUAGGGUAUGGUAGGAUUUUAAAACAAGUCAAAUGAGAUAGGGUAUGGUAGGAUUUUAAAACAAGUCAAAUGAGGAAAAGAACAAACAAUCCACUUUACAUCUUGACACUGAAUCAACUCACCAAAAUUAUAGUACAAUUAAAAAAAAAUUAUCAAUUGUUUUAUGUAUUACAAAAUUUCAAAGUGAUUUAUUAAAUCAAUUUUUUUUUUACAAAUUGAUUGCAAAUCAACAAAAAGAGUUUUACAAAAAAAUGAUCAAAAUAUUGUCUCAAAACAAAUGUUUACAAUAUGACAAGGAAUUUUAAGUAUAUUUGAUUUUGAAAUUAAAUAUAUCAAAAGAGAAACUAAUUUUUUGCUUGAUUUUCUCACAAAAGAAUUCCUUCAAAUAUAACCCAAAACUCGAAGACAAAGGAAAAGAAAAAGUAGAAGAAUCUUCCUAAAAAAAAAAUCCUCAAAACCCAUCAUAUCAUAGUAUGGAAUUUGCCUACAAGAAGAAAAUGAGGGAUCAUCAUCCUCAUCAAGAAUCUCUAAUAAUGCAUCCCUCCAAGAUGCACAAGAUCCAAAUGAAAUUAGUUCGCAAAUAAAAAAAAUGGAUUGAGUCUCUCUUUCAAUUCCCAGAAGUGGCAUUAGCUAUAGCCCAAUCCAAAGAGGAAACUCCUCUCUAACAAAUUGUUGUUGAAGCAAUCAAGAUUUUAAAAAAUAGAGAGAUAGUUUUACACAAACCAAAAUCUCUCAAAAAUAUUUCAAAAGAAACAUCUCUUCAAGAGAUUUUUCCAAAAGAAGUACCAUCUUCACAGACUGUUGCACAAAAAUCCUUACAAUAUUUUACAAAAAAUGAUUUGAAAAUUUUUUCGCAAUCCGUUUCUUUUCAAAAUUGUGUAUUUCUUAGAUUUUCUUUCCUGGAAUUAUGCUUAUGAACAAGAUCAAUACAUGAGAAUCUCAUUGUUAGUUCGAAAUUUCAGAAAGAAAUUGUGAGACAAAUUCAAUGAUGAAAAAAAAUGAUUCCAAGUAUUUGUAUGAUCUUUUCAACAAAAACCCAAGGUUAUGCAAAUUCGUUGCCCCAAAUCAAACUACUACAAAGUUCUUUCAAGCCAAAUCAACUACCAACACAAUGUUGGCUUAGGCCAAAGAAGUAUUGUUUUGCAACCUUUAGAAAAUUCCCAGCAAAGCAAAGACAAAGAUGAACAAGGGUGAUUCAUUACAAAACAAAGACAAAGAUGGACAUGAGUGAACAAGAGUGAUUCCCUGCAAAAGAUGGAGAACAAUAGUAAAGAUUCUCUGCAAAGAAAAGACGGAGAUUAGUAAUAAAGAUUCUCUGCAAAAAAAAAAGACAUAGAUCAACAGUAAAGGUUCUAUGCAAAGAAAAGACGGAAAACAAUAGUAAAGAUUUUCUGUAAAAGUUUUGUAAUCAGAAAAUAUAUUCUCUGCGAUUGUAAUUAUAGUCUAGAAAAUAGUAAUUGUAUAAUCCUUGUAAUAAUGUAAGGGAUCAGAUUCCCCAAAGAAAGACGUUGUAAAGAGGUAAGAACCCUCCAUAAAAAGCUCUAAGUUUUAUAAUGAAAGGCACAACUUUGAAUACGAUUCAAUACACGACCCAAAAUACGACUCAAAAUCCUUUGAGACAAAUUUUUCCAAAAUUUUCUAACUUUCAAAAAUUUAAGUUUUUGUUUUUCAAAAAUUUAAGUAAAUCAAAAUUAAAUUUAAAAAUUUCGAGGUUUUUUUUUCAAAAAUUUAAAUUUAUAACAAAUCAAUUUUAAGUUUUCAAAAAAAUUAAGAUUUAAAUUAUUAUUUUCAUACACUUCCAUCCGAUCCUCAGAUCCUCGGGACUGGUCUACAUAUAUAUAUUUAAUAUUUAUUUUAUAUAUUUUAAUUUUGACAUAAUGAUUUAUUUAGCCCUACAACUUUAUAAAAAAAAUAUCUUUAACUCUCUAUUUAAUUUUCGUCAUUUUUAGCUUUUAAACUUGGGUAAUUUAUCAAAUUUCCACCAAAGCCAUAAUUGAUUGAAGAGAAAGAAAGGGAAUAUUUUGGGUUUCUCUAGUGAAAUAAGAUCAAAAAGUAUAGGCAAAAGACUGUAGUGACUUUGGUGAUGAAUAUGAGAAGCUUUUUAUCUGGGUUUGUUUGGAAUUUAAAUGUUAUACUUGAUUUAAUGACGAAGAAAAAAAAGAUUUGGGUUUCUUGAAAAAAAAUUCUUUUUUGCAUUUGUUUUACUAGUUUAUCAUUGUAAGAUGAUAUGAGAUUGAAGGAUUUUUCACCUAAAUAAUAUUUUUUUAAAAAUACUGAAAUGGUAUGUUUCAAAAAUUAUGUACCAAAAUGGUACAUUCAAUGGGGUGGAGGGUGGUGCAUAGGCGGCACCACCCUGGUAUUCUGAUAAAAUUUUCAUGAAAACAAAAAUAAAAAAUAAAAAAAUGGUAUUCUAAUGCAUUUUGAAUAAAGAAUAGUCUCAGUCAUUUAAGAUUGACAAAGAAAAUUAGAACCCAAUACGUUAGGGCUCAAUUUCCCUCAAAAAUCCCAAACCUCAAAUAAUGCUUUUAUUCAAAAAAAAACCUUUAAAUCAAGAAAAUAACCUUGAUGAAUGGUUAAAACCAAAAAAUAUUUUCAAAAGGGUAUGUUAAAGUUAUUAUACAAUAUGAUACAGAUCCUUUAAUUUACAGCAUAUACGAAUAAAUAUUCGCAAAUAUAUAUAUACAAAUACAAUAUAUCAGUAAAGUUGCAAACAUAUGUACACAUAUAUCAAACACACAUACCAGCAUACAUCUAAAAAGAGAGAAUGGAAUAUAUCAAAUAAAACAAAUACAAAUACAUGUGUUGAAAACAAAAUAAAAGUAUAAAAAUACGCAUAUAUAUAUUUACAAAGAAAAACAAAACAAUAUAUAUAAUAUAUAAAUAAACUACGAAAAUAUAUACAUGUAUGUGAAAAUAUGUAUGAAUUAUAAAAUGGAAAAAUGUAUAUGUAUUAUAAAAUGUAAAUUUAUAUACAUAUAUAAACUAUAUAUAAAAAACUAAGAAGAUAAUAUAGUAAUAAAAUAUAUAAAAUAUGUACACGUAUUUUAAAAACAUUUAAAAUAUAUAUACCUAUAUAAAAUGCAAACAUAUGCGUGUAUAUAUGUAUAAUAAUAAUAAUAAUAAUAAUAAUAAUAGUAAUAUAUAAUAUAAUAACAAAAAUAACAGCAACUUAAUAACAAGAACAAUAUUACAAACUAAUAUAUAAUCUAAUUUGUAAAAGCAAAUACAAUGGACUAAAUUUGAAUCAAAACAGAAUUAAAACACAAAAUCAAAUUAAAGCAGAGGAUGAAUUCGCAAAAUGCGUGCAACAUGGAGGGCCAGAAGGGAAAUUAAUCCCUCCCUUCCAAAACGUUGUGCAGCAUGGGAUUAAAAUAGAACAGAUUUAAUAUGUCAUGGAAAAAUUUGAAAACGAUAAAAACAAUGGUUUUGAAAUGAUGGGAAACAUGAAAGGAUUAAAAACGAAAAUAACCCAUCAAUGUUUAAAAGUUAAAAUCCAUUUCAUUUGCAGCCAAUAAAACUCAUUCAAACCCUAAAAAUAACUCUACUCUGCCACUUUUGAAAUUGCCGCAGCUCCUCUCCCUCUAUGCCAUUUCAGACUCCUUUCACUCCGAUAACGACAAAACGGAGAGGUCUCCCGACGACCCUCACGAUAGUAAGUCCUCCUUUGCUUAUCCUUUUCUUUUUGUUUAUUAUUAUUUUUUAAAAGGAGAAAGAAAAGAAGAAGAUAGCAAAAUAAUAAUAAAAAACCAGUAAAAUCAAAGAAAAAUCGGAAAAAAAAUAAAAUCACCUUUUGAAAAAUAUUCUUUGUAUUCUCAAUAUUCUCUCUGUUUUCGAAUAUAUUUUACACCGAAAAAAAUCCCUCCCCCCCUUGUUACAGACUUUCAUCAGCUUUAUAUAGCCGAUUAAAACUAAAAAUCUGGAAAAAAAAAAUCAAAAACCCCUCUUCUUUCUGUUAUUUGCUGUGCUUGUGUCCCCCUUUUUCGCAGGUUUGGUGACCGUGGAGUGCGCGCGACGGGCGCGGAGCGACAAACACGGUGUGCGGGCACUGUUGCGGCGUGCGUGUGGGAGCUGCUGCGCCUAGGCUUCUUGCUGGUGUUUUGGGCCAUUUUCUGUUGGACUAGGGUUGAAAUUGGCUAUUGGGUUUUAAUUUUAUUGGGCCUGCUAUUGUAUUUUAUUAUUGAUUGGGCAGGGCAAAUAAUUGGUAUUACAAUAUUCUUACAUUCUUAAUGCCUUUUGGAAUAGGAAAAAAAACAUAAAGUAACACUACCAUAUAAAAAUGAUUUUGAUGAAAGAAAAUUUUAGACAAAAGUAAGUCCAAUACAAAUGAACAAAGAAAUAGAAGAAUUUUGUAAAAAAGAAAUACAAGAUUUUCUCAAUAAAAACUUAAUUAGAUAGAGCAACUCUCCUUGAAUUUGUUUAGCAUUUUACGUGAUGAAAAAUGCAGAACUCAAAAGAGGAACCCCAAGAUUAGUCAUUAAUUACAAACCUCUCAAUCAAGCUUUAGAAUGGAUUAGAUACACAAUCCCAAAUAAAAAUACUGAUUGCAAAAACUAUUCAAUGUCAAUUUUUUUUAAAAUUUGACUUGAAAUCGUGAUUUUGGGAAAAUCAAAUAAAAGAAGUUGAAAGAUACAAAACGACAUUUGUUGUACCAUUUGAGCAAUACGAAUGGAACGUAAUACAUCUUGGACUAAAAAUACUCCAUCUAAAUUCAUAAAAAUUAUGAAUGAUAUUUUUAAUCCAUAUUCUCAA
rnacentral:lncRNA from 1 species